UAAAAGCCACAGGAAAUCCCAGCACUUCUAGAUAAUCACUGCUUGAAUAUUAGGCACUCUCUCUCUCUCCCCGUGUGUGUGUGUGUGUGUGUGUGUGUGUGUGUGUGUGUGUGUAUACUUUUAGAGGGAAAUAUUUCUUUCCCAUAAGAGGAUCGUCCUACAUAUGCUGCUUUUUAUAACCUGCUUUUUUUUUAACCUAUCACUGAACAUUUUUCUGUGUCAUUAAAUAUGCUUCUUCCAGCCUCAUUUUGGUGUCAGCCUGGCCUUCGGAUGUGGGGCUUCCUGCCCUGCUGAGCUGCCUUCUCAACCCUCCUCUCCCCAGGACACUCAGCUGUGAAAGGCGCUGAUUUGCACAGAUUUUCUUAAGGAGCAAGCAGGACCAAACAAUUCCUGGUGGUGGCUGUGUCUGCUGAGAAUUAAUGCCAUUUUGUCUUAGAGACUAGAGAAGGAGAGAACGACAGACCCUGGGGAAUUGUCCUCGUGGAAAAGAUGGACAAACAGAGAUUGAAAAUACAGUGUUCUGGCUGGGCGUGAUGGCUCAUACCUGUAAUCCUCACACUUUGAGAAGCCAAGGUCACCGUGAAAAAAUCAGCAAAUGUCUCUUCAACAAUUGGGAAUUACUUCUCUUAAGGAAAAAAAUUUCAAAAUUUGGAAAUAAAGCAAGAAAAAAGAGUACAUGCCUUUAAUAAACUUUACUUUUAAUUGACACAUCAUAAUUGUAUUUAUGAGCUUUCCAUG
rnacentral:lncRNA from 1 species